rnacentral:rRNA from 1 species
GUCGAAACGAACUCCCGUUAAUUGACUUAUGACGUGCUUGGGACUGAAUUUACAUUUUAACACAAAGUAAAUGCCGGACGGUAUAAUAACCCGUGGGCACCUUGCCAAGAAGCAGGGGAUAACCCUUGGAAAAGGUUGCUAAUUCCGUAUAACAGAGAAAACCGCCUUGGUUUUCUUUUAAAAGCAUGGUUCUGCUAUCACUUCUGGAUGGACCCGCGGCGCAUUAGCUAGUUGGUGAGGUAACGCCUCACCAAGGCGAUGAUGCGUAGCCGACCUGAGAGGUAACCGCCACAUUGGACUGAGACACGGGCCAAGACCUCUACGGGAGGCAGAAGUAGGGAAUCUUCGACAAUGGACGAAAGUCUGAUGGAGCAACGCCGCGUGAGUGAAGAAGGGUUUCGGAUCGUAAAGCUCUGUUGUUAAAGAAGAACGUGGGUGAGAGUAACUGUUCACCCAUUGACGGUAUUUAACCAGAAAGCCACGGCUAACUACGUGCCAGCAGCCGCGGUAAUACGUAGGUGGCAACCGUUGAUCCGGGAUUUAUUGGGCGUAAAGCGAGCGCAGGCCGUCUUUUAAGUCUAAUGUUGAAAACUUCGGCUCAACCGAAGAAGUGCAUUGGAAACUGGGAGACUUGAGAGCAGAAGAGGAUAGUGGAACUCCAUGUGUAGCGGUGAAAUGCGUAGAUAUAUGGAGGAACACCAGUGGCGAAGGCGGCUGCUCUGGUCUGUAACUGACGCUGAGGCUCGAAAGCAUGGGUAGCGAACAGGAUUAGAUACCCUGGUAGUCCAUGCCGUAAACGAUGAUUACUAAGUGUUGGAGGGUUUCCGCCCUUCAGUGCUGCAGCUAACGCAUUAAGUAAUCCGCCUGGCGAGUACGACCGCAAGGUUCAAACUCAAAAGAAUUGACGGGGGCCCGCACAUGCGCUGGAGCAUGUGGUUUAAUUCGAAGCUACGCGAAGAACCUUACCAGGUCUUGACAUCUUCUGCCAACCUAGAGAUUAGGCGUUCCCUUCGCGGACAGAAUGACAGGUGGUGCAUGGUUGUCGUCACCUCGUGUCGUGAGAUGUUGGGUUAAGUCCGGCAACGCCGCAACCCUUAUUACUAGUUGCC